rnacentral:rRNA from 1 species
AACGAACGCUGGCGGCAUGCCUAACACAUGCAAGUCGAACGAGACCUUCGGGUCUAGUGGCGCACGGGUGCGUAACGCGUGGGAAUCUGCCCCUCGGUUCGGAAUAACACAGAGAAAUUUGUGCUAAUACCGGAUAAUGACUUCGGUCCAAAGAUUUAUCGCCGAGGGAUGAGCCCGCGUAAGAUUAGCUUGUUGGUGGGGUAAUGGCCUACCAAGGCGACGAUCUUUAGCUGGUCUGAGAGGAUGAUCAGCCACACUGGGACUGAGACACGGCCCAGACUCCUACGGGAGGCAGCAGUGGGGAAUAUUGGACAAUGGGCGAAAGCCUGAUCCAGCAAUGCCGCGUGAGUGAUGAAGGCCUUAGGGUUGUAAAGCUCUUUUACCAGGGAUGAUAAUGACAGUACCUGGAGAAUAAGCUCCGGCUAACUCCGUGCCAGCAGCCGCGGUAAUAGUCAUGUCG